rnacentral:lncRNA from 1 species
ACUGGAUAUGGGUUUCAAUAGCCUGAGUCAAGUACAGUACUGCUCUUCUGGCUGCCUGUGGAUCCAGAUGUAGAGCUCUCAACUGCCUCUCCAGCACCAUGGCUCCGUGUAUGCCAUUAUGCUCCCUACCAUGAUGAUAAUGGACCAAACUUCUGAAACUCUAUUGAUUUUAGCUGCCAAUACCUAGAAACAAGAUCUACCUGGGAACCUGUGACCAAACCAGCUGGAACUCAGGUACUCAUUCACGCUAUGCUUUUUGCCUUCCACAGCAUUUCUAUUUUCACCCUCAGUGCUAUAAAAACAGCUUAUAGGUGCCUCUCAUCCCACCCUAAUGUAGUAAGCUUCCUACAUACAACAACCUGAGAAAAUUCCAGGGAAACAAUGUUUUCAAUGUAACCUCAAAACAAACAAACAAACAAACAAACAAGCAAACAGGACAAAAAUGUGGUACAUUUACACAACAGAAUACUAUUCAACUACUAAAAAUAAAAUUAUGAAAUUCACAAAUAAAAAAUGAAGCUAGAAAAGAAAUCAUCCCUAGUGAAGUACCCCCAGACUCAAAAAGAAAAAUUUUGUAUUUUAUAUGUGGCUAAUAAACCUCACAUAGGAGUACUACAAUGUAUAUAACCCCAGAGGUUACCUAUAGAGUAAGGGAAUGGGCAGAGGGGAAGAUCUCACAAGGAAAAAAGAAUAUGUACUAAUGAAAAGCCAUGGGGGAGAUUGGCAUGGGAAGAUUAAGUGGAGAAGGGGAUGGGUGAGAUGGGUAAGGGAGGGAAUAUAGGGAGAAACACUAAGGGCCAUUUGAAAGGUUAUAUGGAAGCCUACUACUAUAGAAGCUUCUUAAAUAUAUGAAAAAAAGGUAAAUGGAGUCACCAAAUAAGGUAAUGUCUAAGUUGCCACCAACUGAAACCUUGAGUGCCAGUAAUGGAUUACAUCUAGGUGAGUUUUGCCAAAGGAUCCUCAAACAUACAUCCCCAAAUCUCAAGAAAUUGUUAAGUCUAUUGGCUAUUCUCCACAAACUGGUAGCAGCGAACUAGAGCCUUCCCCACUAGUGAGUGACUAGCAGUGCAAGUACUGGAAGGCACUCUGCAUGCCACCCGUUGAGAAACUGACUGCCAACACAACUAUGAAUCCUACAAUC